AACGAACGCUGGCGGCAUGCCUAUCACAUGCAAUUCUACCGCAAUCUUCGGGUCUACUGGCGCACGGGUGCCUAACGCGUGGGAACCUGCCCUUAGUUUCUGAAGAUCGCCCCGGUAUGGGUGCUAAUCCCGGAUCCUGUCUUCGGUCCAAAUAUUUCUCGCCCUUGGAUGGGUCCACGUUUGUUUAGCUUGUUGGUCUGGUAAAAGCCUACCAAUGCGACGAUCCAUACAUGGUCUUAGAGGAUGACCAGCCACACUGGAACUGAGACACGGCCCAAACAGCUACGGAAGGAAGCAGUGGGGAAUAUUGGACAAAGGGCGAAAGACUGAUCCAGAAAUGCCGCGAGAGAGAUGAAGGCGUUAGGGUGGUAAAGCUCUUUUACCCGGGAUGAUAAUGACAGUACCGGGAGAAUAAGCACCGGCUAACUCCGUG
rnacentral:rRNA from 1 species